GUCUCUGUAGUGGUUAGUACUCUCGCUUGUGGAGCGGCCUAACGUUAACGCGAGCGACGUCGGUUCGAUUCCGGCCGGGGACA